CUGCCAAAUGUUUAAUUAAAUCUUUUUAAUGAUACACAGUACAAUGUAUCUACUAGACUACAAUUCACAACAGAAAGCAGGUUUCGUAUCUGCUUAAAAAUAUUCUUCAUAAUAAAUUCAUAAAUAGAUGAAGGUAAAGUAUAAAAAAAUUACUAUAGUAUGCAAGCUUGCUCCCUUGUCUCUUCGUAUUCCAAAUGACCUAGUCAGUAUUGUAAUAGGAGAAGUAGCUAGUGAUGAUUACAAACAUACAGCCUGCAUCUCUCGAAGAAACCUUGGAAAAACAGCGACAGAUUUGUCCUAGAAAAUGCAGAAUGUAAAAGUUUACUGCAGUAAUGCAUUUAAAAUACAUGUGACAAUCUGUUCUUCAUAUAAAUCUGGUUUCCUCUGAAGUCAAAGAAGAAAACUGAGUAAGAGCCCUAGCUUUCAUGAAGCUCUAAGAAAUCUAUUCAGUGUGAAGAGAGCUUCAUCUGGCUUUGCUACUCCCUCAUACAGUCACCUGCACUUUGAGUGCACACUACACUGAGAAUGGUAAAAUCAUCAGGACUUUUCUUCUGUUCUCAAAUGUUUUAAUUUAUAUAUGUGAUUUGUUUUGCAAAACAAAUAUUAGCAGGGUUCUAGGUUUACAUUUAUUUGUUACAAUGUUUACGUAAUUAUAAAUAUUUGUCAAAAUUUCCAUCCACAAUGAUGGACUGGAUAUAAAAUUAGCUUAAAUCAAAAAUCAGUACAGAGUAACACUGCCCACGCUGCUGGGAACCACAUUCUGCUGAUGACUUCAGUUCAGUAUUUGCCUCUGCAUUCCAUUCUUAAUUGUUA
rnacentral:lncRNA from 7 species